UCCAGUUCGAAGGGAGUUGCAUGGACUCUUCUGAUUGGCCAAAAGCAUUCUGGAAGGUUUUCACUGUUCAGUCAGACUGAAACACUGGUUCCGUUGAGUCUUGUUGGCUGAUGUCCUCCGUCAAUGUGGCUUUGUGAAAACGAGACUUGAUAAUCAAGGAUGUUAUCGUUGACUGAGUGAAGGCCUUCCUGAGAACCAGUGAUUUGAUGAUGACAAGAAGAAUGCUGGCGUCCAACAACAGAACAUACCCCAAAUGUUGGAUUUCAACUAACUAGUGAGGAACCUUCUCAGGUGGAUAAGGAGUAUGGAAGAGAGCAGACUACUAGGAGAAUCUAUCGACAGCCUACUCGAGUACCUGUUGGUCUUUUUGGACCCCUGAUCACUACAGAUGUUGAAUUGCUAUUAGUGAGGAACCUUCUUCAGGUGGAUGAGGAGUGUAUGGAAGAGAGCAGACUACUAGGAGAAUCUAUCGACUGCCUACUCGAGUACCUGUUGGUCUUUUCGGCCCCCUGAUCACUACAGAUGUUGAAUUGCUUUUAGUGAGGAUCCUACUAUAAAACUGCUUUAGAAAGCACACUAAGAGAAUCUACCGACUGCCCACUAAAAUUCACUACAUGUUAAAUUGUUACCAGUGAGGAAACCUUCCCGGGUGGCUGAGGAGCGUAUGGAAGAAAUCAGACUACUGUAAAUCUCCGGAGAGUGAAAGGGAAAUCUAUGGACUGCCCCCUCUCGAGCACCUCCUGGUCGUUUCGGCUUCCUUUCUAAGUGCUCACAACAAAAUCUCCAAGAAUUACUGUAUAUUGAACUAGCAGGCAACUGAGUGUUAAAAAAUAAUGCAAAAAUUUAUAU